rnacentral:sRNA from 1 species
AUGGACGUCGCGCAGGAAGCGCUCUUAGCAACAUGGAAACGUGGAUUGCCGCCAGGAUGGCGGUAGACCAAGGAUGUUCAAAACAGUCUGCAAAGGCCCCGCAACGCGGGGUUUU